rnacentral:rRNA from 1 species
GCAAGUCGAGGGGUAAGGUUUACUUCGGUAAACACACGACCGGCGCACGGGUGAGUAACGCGUAUGCAACCUACCUAUAACAGGAGAAUAGCCCCGAGAAAUCGGGAUUAAUACUCCAUAAUAAUACUUUUUGGCAUCAUUUGGUAUUUAAAGCUCCGGCGGUUAUAGAUGGGCAUGCGUGACAUUAGUUAGUUGGUGAGGUAACGGCUUACCAUGGCUACGAUAGGUAGGGGGCCUGAGAGGGUGAUC